AAAAAAAAACACAAGUGAAAGGCCCUUAAAAAGGCACUCCUCCCCUUUGCGAUAAACACCGGCACUAACAACACCACCAACCUACCAUUAUCAAAAAGCCAUCUUAAAGCUGACCUUGUAACCCUUCUCUUCACAAAAACUUGCUUCUAAUGAACAUCUAAAACACCAUACAUAUUCCUGCAAGGAUUCUAAGCAUCCAAACAACCGAUAAGAUCAUGUGGCGCAAGUUGGCUAGAUUGAGGAGCAACGUUCAAAACAUUAGGAAAAGCCCACGAGUAGCUGAUGAGAGCAUGUUUGGAGUCAUGAACGGAGCUGAAUUUCCAAUCCUUGUUCGUGAUAUGAACAGAACACAAAGCUGGAAUGCCCUUUCUGCCCUGCUUAGAAUUGUUCUUGCACCAUUUUCAAUUCCUUCUUGCUUCUCAUCACAACCUCAUGUCCAUGGUGCUGAUGGUCUCUGGGUGACUGGUGAGUUUGCGCAGCUAUCAGAGAUGAAUCAUCUCAUGGUAAAUGACAGCAUGCGCUAUGCAAUCUUGAUGUAGACAUUGAGCUGCCCAUUUAUCUCUUGCGCGAAUAAUAAUGAUGAUAAUAAUGGUUGACGCCUUCAAAAAACGAGCAUGUGAUGAUUUUGGAGUCAUCAUGAGAGGAGGCUAGUGGGAUUGCUGGAGAGUGUUAUAAGAAGAAAGGCUAAUAAAAGAGCAACUUGUGUCCAUGUUUAGUGCGACAUGAGAAAAAAAACAAAACAGGUCAACCUCUCCCUGCAACUUCUUGAUAAUUUUCAUAAUGGGAACAGUUGGUUAUAUGA